UACAGAGGGUGCGAGCGUUAAUCGGAAUUACUGGGCGUAAAGCGUGCGUAGACGGUUAUCUAAGUCGGGUGUGAAAGCCCCGGGCUCAACCUGGGAAUUGCAUUCGAGACUGCAUUGCUGGAGUACGGAAGAGGAGGGCGGAAUUCCCGGUGUAGCGGUGAAAUGCGUAGAUAUCGGGAGGAACAUCAGUGGCGAAGGCGGCCCUCUGGUCCAGUACUGACACUCAAGUGCGAAAGCGUGGGGAGCAAACAGG
rnacentral:rRNA from 1 species